CGGGACCUCAAGAUGGCCACACUGAUACAAUAUAGUUUAAUUUCCAGCCAAGAUCAGAGUUAACCGAGACAUAUAUGGUGGAUAAAAAGCUCUUAAAAAUAUGGGUGUUCCGAGGAAAGUAUACCACUAGGGAAUGUGGGUUACAUUAGUAAUGGAGGAAUAUUUUGACAGCAGACGAAACUAAAGUGUUGCCACGGUGACGGUGGUGGUGGGCAUGAUACAGAUGCAGGAGGUGGAGUUUGUGCCCGAUGGAGACAUGCACCUGGACAAAUUGUGUUGGUCAUUGGUCAGACUGGAGUUUACAUGUGUACCUCCUUCACCAUCAUUGGUGGACACUUCACCAUGAGUGAUGCUUGAGCUGUCACGGUGCUGCUGCUGUUGUCUGCCAUCAUCCCCCUGACACAGACCACCCUGCAGACCACCUUCAUCCUGGGUGCCACACAUUUAUGGUAUCAUUCAAAAUGUCCUUCAAAGAAACCCCUUUGUAAUCCAACACACUUAGCCCAUUAAUCCUUCCAUUUCUCAUCAAUUUGUUCAACAUUCAUAUUUUUCCCUUAUAGGGUUGAACAAUUUUCAUGGGUUCAGAGCAAAAGGCUUCCUCAUUCCUCCCCAAGGUAUUCUCGGAUGGUAAGCAGGUUUGACUCUGGAGCAAACCUGACCAAGGGCUACUGCCCAAGGCUACAGAGGUUCCUCUCCCUGAGGCUGAAUGCACCAUGUGAGAUGGUUCUGUUAUGUGGAUGAAUGUCAUGGUGGAUAGCAGUGCCACCACAUUCCUACAAUCAUCCAUCACUCCACUGCUCAAACGCUUCUGCAACCAAUGAUAGGUAUGCUGCCACAUUCUGCAUGGUCUCCUUGGCUCUCAGAUAAGGAUACUGUCAACAGGUUUGGGAUUGCCAAAAAAUCAUAAGGAGCUACAUCUGAAAAGUCCAGAGAGAGAGAGAGAGAGAGCGAGAGAGAGAGAGAGAAAGAAUGAGCAAGAGAAAGAGUAGGAUGAAGCAAAGGAAGAGUCAAGAGGGAGGAAGAGAGAGUAGGACAAGAAAAAACAGAACAAAUAAAUCCCCUACACGUCUUGUCUCCAUUCACACAAGCCAUGAAAAGCUUGUCCAUCCCUGAGUGCUCAGAAGCAGUGUUCCACUGAUGAUGUGGAAACUUGAGACACCCAAUCAUUUAAUGAGCUUUAGUAGGUUUUGUCACCAGUCUUCUGUGUGUCACUGACUACAUUUUGAAAUUUUUAUCUGUUCUAUUUAAUUUUGUGUGUAUGUACACAAUGUUUAUGGUCAAUAAACUAUUUAUAAAACUAUUUAUCUGUGUGAGUAAGAUAAAAGCAGUUAUUGUUAUUAUUAUUAUUAUUAUUAUUAUUAUUAUUAUUAUUAUUAUUAUUAUUAUUAUUAUUAUUAUUACACAUUUUCCUCCUUGUAUUUAAAUAUUAUUAUUAUUAUUAUUAUUAUUAUUAUUAUUAUUAUUAUUAUUAUUAUUAUUAUUAUUAUCAUGAAU